GGUUUCUAAUCCCUUCUGUGGCCUUUGGUCACGUUAAUUGGCGCGAGAGCUUAUGCUUCGCCCCGUGCUUCAGAUGUUCGAGUCGGGUCUGAAGCGCGCGUCCCUACCGAACAGUAUUAAAUACAUGGGACCUUUGAAUCGCUGGGAUGCCUCGUAUUGCACGUUGGCGUAAGACCCGCGAGGCCACGGCCAUAUCAUCCAUUAUAACUAUUAUGAUCAAUACAGUUUAUUACAACUGGUAGCGUUGGAUCCCUCGGCAUGGCUAUCGAUGAAGAACGCGGCCAGCUGCGAAAUGUGAUGUGAAUUGCAACUCAAAGCGGUUAUCGUGAAUCAUUGACUAUUUGAACGCAUUGCACCGCCCUUAUGGGAGUGGUACACCCGAUUGAGAGUCAUAAUGACCUUCAGGUUGGGAUACUUGGUCAUUCGAUUGGCAGAUGCAUGUGUGCUGCAAACCAUCUCUCUCUUGAGGUGGCGGAGGAGCAUGUGCAUGAGUAUCUCAAUGCUGGCUUCGAGGCUGCACGGUAUCUUUCUUGAUAUCGCGUGCCUUCAGAUGGAUUAGUGGCGACUGCGAGAGCGAGUUGGACUCUGUGUAAUAAUGAUUUCACGCAGAGGAGUGCCUUUGGCACACUUGUGACUUGUAGCGCGGCUUCAAACCCGCCCCAGGGCAAACCCCGCGGAGGCUUCACAGCUUGUGCGACAUUAUGAAAUUGGCCUCAGUUGGGUGGGAUGACCCGCUUGAUUUAAGCAUAUUAUUCAGCGGAGGAAAAGAAACUAACAAGGAUUCCCCCAGUAACGGCGAGUGAAGAGGGAA
rnacentral:rRNA from 1 species